ensembl:lncRNA
UCUGUGUUUUUCUUCAGGAGAUCUGACACAACAAGUGGCCAGUGCUAUCCAAACAGGUUUAUCACGCAGCAGCUUCGGCAGGCGCUGUCCAGCUGUUUAAAAAAUACUGUGACACAUCCUUCCGCCUCACCCCUUCUCUCGGUUUCCUUGAGGAACAAAAGAGGGAUUUCCUUUUGGACUGAUAUACGGCGUGGCUGGAGUGAAACGGACAAGUCACAGAAGAUGAAAGCGGAAGAAGCCAGCGGUGA